AAAGCCGAGUUCCCGUACGAUCACUGAAGUUGAGCAACGUCGAACCUGGUCAGUACCUAGAGGAGUGACCGCUUGGGAAUACCAGGUGCUGUAU